GCCAGCAGCAUGGUGUAGUGGUUUGUGCCUUGGACUGUGACUCUGGAGACCAGGGUUCGAAUCCCUGCUCAGGCG